rnacentral:lncRNA from 1 species
CAGGGCCGUGCCACGGUGCCCCCCCCGCGCCCGCAGUGUCCUCGGUGUGCAGCAGCGCCCCCGGCUCCGGGCCCAGCUCGCCCAACAGCUCCCACGGCGCCAUCGCCGAGAACGGCCUCACCGGCUCCGUGCCCAACAUCCACGCCGAGCAGCUGCUGCCCCAGCCGCGGGCGCUGGCGCUGGAGGGGCAGCUCAGCCUCUACACGUCCCCGUCCCUGCCCAACAUCUCCCUGGGGCUGCAGGGCACCGCCGCCGCCUCGCACCGCACCGCGUCCCCCAAGCUGUCCCCGCAGGCGGAGGCCGAGCGCCCGGCGGUGGCGGCGCUGCGUCCCGGGGCAGCGCUCAGCGCCAAGUUCCUCAGCACCUCGUCCAUCCCCGGCUGCCUGCUGGGGGUGGCGCUGGAGGGGGACCCCCCCGCCGGCCCCGCGUCCCUGCUGCAGCACGUGCUGCUGCUCGAGCAGGCGCGCCAGCAGAGCACCCUCAUUGCCGGUGAGCACCCCCCCCCGAACCCCCCACGUCGCGCCCGGCCCUGCCUCAGUUUCCCCUCCUGGCCUCGGCCCCCCCUGGGGAGCCCACAACCCCCUGGGGGCGUCACUGGGGCCCCCCCAUCACCCUGGGGGUGUCAUCAGGGCUCCCCCAGCCCCCUGGGGGCAUCAUCGGGGACCUCCCCAGUCCCUUGGGGACAUCAUUGGGGGCCCCCCGGUCCCCUGGGGGCAUCAUAGGGG